rnacentral:misc_RNA from 1 species
GAUUGAAGAACGUAGCGAAAUGCGAUAAGUAAUGUGAAUUGCAGAAUUCAGUGAAUCAUCGAAUCUUUGAACGCACAUUGCGCCCCUUGGUAUUCCGAGGGGCAUGCCUGUUCGAGCGUCAUAUUAACCACUCCCGCUUGCGGGGUCUUGGGCUUCGCCUCCGGGCGGGCCUUAAAAUCAGUGGCGGUGCCGUCGGGCUCUACGCGUAGUAAAUUUUCUCGCGAUAGGGUCCCGGUGGAUGCUUGCCAACAACCCCCAACUUCUUAAGGUUGACCUCGGAUCAGGUAGGGAUACCCGCUGAACUUAAGCAUAUCAAUAAGCGGAGGA